rnacentral:rRNA from 1 species
UACGUAGGGUGCGAGCGUUAAUCGGAAUUACUGGGCGUAAAGCGUGCGCAGGCGGUUUUGUAAGCCAGAUGUGAAAUCCCCGGGCUUAACCUGGGAAUGGCAUUUGGGACUGCAAGGCUCGAGUGCGGCAGAGGAGACUGGAAUUCCUGGUGUAGCAGUGAAAUGCGUAGAUAUCAGGAGGAACACCAGAGGCGAAGGCGGCUAACUGGACAGCUACUGACACUCAACUACGAAAGCGUGGGGAGCAAACAGG